rnacentral:rRNA from 1 species
GGGAAAUCUUACCGGGUCCGGACGUAUCGAGGAUUGACAGAUAGUUAUACAUGCCCUACAAGCAAGUAGGAGUCAGGUUUUAAACCUAAUGGCUCUUUCAUGAUUAUAUGAUAGGUGGUGCAUGGCCGUUCUUAGUUCGUGGAGUGAUCUGUCUGCUUAAUUGCGUUUCAAAUUUUUAACCGAGGACCGGGUUUUGGUUUGGCUAGUGGUCCUACGAUGACUGUGAACUGUCAUGUCUUCGGAUGUACGACUAUCGGUCUAGGAUCACAUGACUUGCCCCUGGGACUCUUUUGAACGCAACGGACGUGAUUGCAACCCCUUGUUGAGAUUAGAGAUAGUCUCGAUAUUCACUGGCCAAACUGGCUGCUUUAUGCAGUCUUGUUGAAUGGUGGAUAAACUCGGGGGACUGCUGACUAUAACCAUUUCUCAAAACAGAGGAAGGUUGCGGCAAUAACAGGUCUGUGAUGCCCUCAGAUGUCCCGGGCUGCACACGUGCUACAAUGAGUGGCGCAAUGUGCUAAUGUUUUAAGGGAUAAGCGUGCGGCCAGUAGAACGUCGGCAAUUGCCCUGGCGUCUUCUACCGCACGAUUAUCAGCCUUCCCUUAACAGGGCGGGCAACCUUUUCAAAAUACCGGUUUGAUGUUAAAGUAUAGAGUCGUUUUUUUUGGAUGGUGGUUUACGAACCAAUACCAUCCGCAACUGCUCGCGAGUUUGUGGUUCUGGUGACUCAUGG